AAGGGGCUUCUUUAGUUUUCCAGGCUUCCCAAUAUCCAAUGAAGGAAAGAAGAGAAUGGAAAGCAGACAAAGCUUUGGAACAAGAAUGAGGAGACAAGCAAAUAUCAAGCAUGAUAGAUAAACUAUAUAGUUGGUUCUACAGUUGAAUGGAUAGGAUUGUUUAGGGUGGAUUCCGAAACCCUAGUGUUUGUUACAUUUUAAUUUUCAUUCCUGUCACUCUUGUUAAAAUUAGAGUUCGAUUACUUUCUAUUAGGUCACUCAAAUCAAAUCAACACCCCCCUCCCCCUCCCCCC